UACUCCUACGGGAGGCAGCAGUAAGGAAUAUUGGUCAAUGGACGAAAGUCUGAACCAGCCAUGCCGCGUGAAGGAUGAAGGUCCUCUGGAUUGUAACUUCUUUUAUCUGGGACGAAAAAAGGGAAUUCUUUCUCACUUGACGGUACCAGAGGAAUAAGCACCGGCUAACUCCGUGCCAGCAGCCGCGGUAAUACGGAGGGUGCAAGCGUUAUCCGGAUUCACUGGGUUUAAAGGGAGCGUAGGUGGGUCUGUAAGUCAGUGGUGAAAUCUCCGAGCUUAACUCGGAAACUGCCAUUGAUACUAUAGGUCUUGAAUUAUCUGGAGGUAAGCGGAAUAUGUCAUGUAGCGGUGAAAUGCUUAGAUAUGACAUAGAACACCGAUGCGAAGGCAGCUUACUACGGAUAUAUUGACAUGAGGCUGAAAGCGUGGGGAUCAAACAGGAUUAGAUACCCUGGUAGUCCACGCCCUAAACGAUGGAUACUCGACAUCAGCGAUACACUGUUGGUGUCUGAGCGAAAGCAUUAAGUAUCCCACCUGGGAAGUACGACCGCAAGGUUGAAACUCAAAGGAAUGACGG
rnacentral:rRNA from 1 species